AUAAUUUCCCGGUCUUUCAAAUUAUGUCAAUCCCCUCGUUAUAAAUCUGAAUAAAAUGAAAAUUUAUGCGGUAAUUAUUCCCUCCUUUUUUUCCUCAACAACUCCGCCCAUAUCCCCCAAAUUAAUCAAAAAAACCCUAAAAUCUCUCAAUCCAAUGUUAUCCCAAAACACGUACACCAGAUUCAGCAAAGUGGAUGCAAAGAAUCACGAACAAAUAGGCCCUCACUGCAACUGCCCGCUACUCCAUUGGCGAGUUCUAGCUUACACUAUAUAUAUAUAGAGCAAAACUCAACGAAAAAUCACAAAACGAUUUGGUCUUCUUGCUGUACGCAACUUAUAAUUUGUGUGCUAAUAGCUGAGUGUCAACGCUAAUAGCUGGGUGUCAACGCUAAUAGCUGGGUUCUGUUAUUUGCUGUACUUAUACUUGAUUGUGGGUUCUGUCAACGCAGCUUAUACGAUUUGGUCUUCUUGUUGUGCUUUCUCGUCAAGGUACUUGCAUACAAUGGAAACAAAGUUUAAUCUCCUUGAGCGGAAUUAUGAUGGUGGUGUUAUUGAAUCUGAUGGAGGUUUAACAAUUUUUUCUCAACCUGGAAAAGAAUUAAGAGAUGGAAAAUUGGACAAACUUAAUCCACAUGAAUUAGAGAAAGCACAUAUUUAUAUUUUGAAGAACUGUGAUGAAAUUCAACCAUUUCUCGAAGAGUUUUCAGAAAUUCCAGGUGAUACCUCUCAAAAACAUUCAGAUAGGGAGUUCAUUAGUUGGUUAAAAGAAAAAGGUUGUCGAAUUGUACAAAUGUGAUAACAGUAAGAAAAUGGAAGAUUUGCUCACUUUGUCACGUGGUCCCCUGCUAUAUGUGAAACAUCUCAAAGGUUACAUUAUUAAUGGAUAUAGGUUUCAUGUGGAAGACUAUGACAAGGGUUUGAGAACUCAAAAUUGCGGGGUGAUUGUAGUUGGUGAGACAGAUGAAGAGAAUAAAAAUAUUGAUUAUUAUGGAGAACUCACUGAGAUUCUUGAAUUGCAAUUUAUGGGAGGAAAAACAGUGAUCUUGUUUAGAUGUAUGUGGUUUGAUGUGUAUGACCAAGAAAAGGGAGUUAAAAUGGAUGAAUAUGGCUUUGUGAGUGUUAAUCCUCAGCGAUUAUUGAAAACUAAUGAGCCAUUUGUAUUAGCAAACCAAGAAUUACAAGUAUUUUAUGUCGAUGAUCCUUCAAAUAAAGGCUGGCAUGUUGUAAGAAAAGUUUUGCCUCAUGAUACUUUUGACAUUUUGCAAGAAAAGGAUGAUGAUUUGGAGAAUUUAGAGAAUUCUACACAAAUGAAGGAAAAGAACUCAUGAAGAAAUUGGUCUAAAGCUUUAGGUCGCACCUCCAAGAUUCUGGACAACUCCGGUGAGCAUUGCUUGCGUUUCCAUGGUCUUGCUUUAUUGCUAUCAAUAGUUAUUUUGAAUAUAGUUUUAGCUAAAUUUUGUUACAUGAUAGUAAUUGUACCUGAUUUACAUUAAUAAUUGCACCCGAUUUACACACUCAUUGUCACUUUGAUGAAUUUUUUCUUAAGGUAUCAAAAGUAAUUGUAAUUUUGAAGUGGACUUUGCACUCAUGUGUUUGAUGAUAUAUCUAAGUCAUCUUCUCUGGAGUAUUCUGUUGUCCUCCUCCUAUUUGGGGUACAAUAGUGAAAUCUCUAGGGGCGUCUGAGCAAGGACUCAUUUAGAAGAAAGUAUUAUCUUUCUUUGAGCAUUCUGGGGCCAAUUUAUGGACUCGAGUAACUAUCUGACUGUUACCAUCUUCCACAUGCUAAAGAUGUAGGGUAUGAUUGUUAGUUACAUGUUAUUGAUAUUAUUUUUUUCUUUGUUUGGUAAGUUGUUCUACCUUAUCCCUUUGAAAUUGCAGAACAGUAAGAGUACACGAAUAAUCCAGUGUAGUAUUAAUGGCCGCUUUGCGCACUAGCCCUUUUUUGUUCUUAUAGACUUAAUUACUCACCUAAGAAAAUCUGAGGAACAUCUUGAUACUGAAAAUACUGUAAAAAUUACAGAUGAUAUAAUAGACUCCCAUCGACCUUUUUGUUUUUCCUUUGGAAUUGGAAUACUACAAGCUUGAAUUUCUUUUGAUUUCUUAUGCAUUGCACUUAGAAAUAUACUUUCUCUGUGAAAAAUAUUCCUCCUUGUUAUUCAUUUGAAGGGAUCCAUUGCAGGCGAUGGUCUUUCUUCAUGAUUCUAUUAUAAUUUUCUUCAUCUUAAAGUCAGUGAUUCAUUUGCUUUGAUUUUGCUUCUUCCAGACCUAUUUCCAAGCCAAAAGAGGAAGAAUUUGCCUCCUUUUCGCUUAAGAGUUGAUGGAAAAUGUGGUUCCAUCAAAUUUCUUUUACAAGUUUAUUUAAUUGAGAGAUUUCUUCUAUUCAAUCAUAUUUACCUCUUGGAUUAUAUUCAUGUACAGUGACUGAACUUCUGCAUAGGGUGAUAAUAGCAUAAAGAUAAGCUUAGCUUAAAUAGCUGGUGACCAUACGAGAUAUAGCCUACAUUCCGAGUUUCUUCGCCUUGUACGUUGUGAAAAUUGCCUUUUCCCCUCUCCUAUGUGUUAUUUUGAGCUUAAAUUUUUCUGCUCCUCAUAUCUCAAGGAUGUAGUUGAAGUUUCUUAAAAUAGUUCUGUAGAUUUAAUCUUUUGCUAACUCAUGAGUAUAAAAAUAAUUUCUUUUAACAAAUUAUGGAAACUUUUAGUGGUCUUUUUUGUGUUUCCAGAGCAUUUUUUUCUUUGUCAUAGUGACAUGUAUUUUAAAUGUAUUUGUGUGAUGCCAUCAACAUAGUAGACGUACAGUUUAAAUAGAAAUGAGAGUUUGGGUGUACGAACAUGGGUAGUUUUGAAUUGUCAAUUCAGAUUAAAUUCAUACUUUAGUCUUAGGAUGUAAUGUCAACGGCUGUAAAAACACGUGUCUUUACCCUUUACCCAAUAAACAAAGAAGUAGUUUUAUCAAUACACCUCAUUUAAAUCCUAAACCAGAUAGCAUUCUAAUGUCAAUUUCUAUUAUAUAGAAAAAGCAACAGAUUUGGGUGAAUCUCUAGGCCUCUAUCCGGUCUAGAUGACAAAUAGACAGUCGAAAUUCAUCAGCUGAAGCUCGGUAAGCUUUUCCUAUUAGCUUUUGUGUUGAUAAUUCUAUUUAUUCAUAGCAAAACGAUUUCCAAUAUCAGGCUAAGAAUUGCUAGGUGUUUCACAAGAAGACAUCACUCAUUGAGGCUCCACCUUUCUUGCCUUCUCUGGUGAGUGACAAUUGAGUUUUCUCCCUUUGCUUUAUUGUUAUAAAUUUUGGCUACUGGAUGUGCUCUGUCUUCUGCUUUGAGUGAAUUGAAUUGUAAAGUAGCCCUUUCAUCAACUUGCAAGGGAAGAUAGAAAGUGAAAACAAGCAAAUGGGGGUAUUGAAGUUGGUAUUAAUGUGUUGCAAUUAUUGUGUUCGAGGAAUUACAUGUAAGAACAAAUGUGUUGUUGCACUAUUCAAAUUUUCUAUAUUUUAUUAGGAUGCUUUCGUGUUGCAUGUUCUAAUCCCGUCUCAAAAUAAAAUUUUAGAGUUAGAUUUUUCAUAAUUUUCAUCUGCUUGAGAGUAAAUCACGAAAGUUAGAUAUUUGCUCUAAUUCUAUGUAGUACUGAUGAUUUUUGCUAAUCUGUGCCAUAUAAUGAGAUUGGUUGAUUUUCGGUGAAACUGAAAAUCUUUCUACUCCAGUCCUGUUUUAGAAAAUAAUGCAGUUAGAUCGCUGGAAGGCAGUAUGGUGAAAAAGCUACCUUAAAAGUAGCUUGCUGUAGUUGAAAUAACCUAUGGAGCAACUUUGACAUGUUGCUAAUGUGUUGUUGCACUAUUCAAAUUCUCUGCUUAUUGAAUGUUGAAUGCAUGUGGUUAGUUUUCUGCUAAUGGUUAUGCACGUGUAAAAGGAAAACAAUAGGUAAAGUUAUUAUCUUUACUUUAAUAUGUGAUACUAUUUAUGGUUGGAUACUAACUGGGGUUUUGACUUCAGGUUCAUAUAGUAGCCUGUUUUGGGUAUAUCAGGAAACUUAACAAGAUGGAAUUUUGGAAUGGUGCCUGUGUAUGUAAAAGAGGUCUACUAUUUUCUUUGACUUUUCUUCUCAGCUAACAGUUACUCCAUACUUUUAUUUAUUUUAGGUUGACAUGAAUCCAUCAAAGUCUGAAAUGGGAGCAACUUCAAAGAAUGUACAUCAUGCAUAUAUUCAACCUGGUGUUUUAGCAAGGGGAAGAGGACACAACUUUGGAUCUUUGGGAUCUGUAAAAAUAAGUAUUGGAAAAAGAACUCUUAUUGGUGAAAGUAAAAAUCACAACUCAAUAGCUUUUGAGCAGAAUAAGCUUGCACAUACUAAUAAUCUUGUGCCCCCUGGUUUCGCUUCGAUGGAAGACGAUGCUCCCCUUGCUCAAGAUGCUGAAGCGAAAAACAGGAGGAGCUUUGAAGAAUGUAAAUCUUGCAUACAUUCAACCUGCGUCUUUAGCAAGGGGACGAGGGCAAAGCUUUCGAUCUUUAGGCUCUGCAAAAGUAAAUGUUGGCAAAAAAAAUCUGUUUGGAGAGAUUAAAAAUUACAACUCAGGGGCUUCUAAGCAGAAUAAGCUAGCACAUAAUAGUAAUAACCUUAUGCCUCCUGGUUUUGAUAGGAUGGAAGAAGAUAUUCCCUUCACUCAAGAAGCUGAAAUGAUGCAAGUUGGAGCUACUUCGAAGAAUGUACGAGACACUUGCAGUCAACCUGGUGCUUUAGCAAGGGGACGAGGGCAAAGCUUUCGAUCUUUGGGCUCGACAAAAGGAAAUGUUGGCAAAAAAAAUCUGUUUGGAGAGAUUAAAAAUUACAACUCAGGGGCUUCUAAGCAGAAUAAGCUAGCACAUAAUAGUAAUAAUCUUAUGCCUCCUGGUUUUGAUAUGAUGGAAGAAGAUAUUCCCUUCACUCAAGAAGCUGAAAUGAUGCAAGAAACUAUAGCUACUUCGAAGAAUGUACAAGACACUUACAGUCAACCCGGCGCUUUAGCAAGGGUACGCGGGCAAAACGUUAGAUCUGUGGUCUCGGUAAAAGGAAGCGUUGGAAAGAGAAAUCUUGUUAGGGAAAGUAAAAAUCACAACUCAGCAGCUUCUGAGCAGAAUAAGCUAGCACAUAAUAGUAAUAAUCUUAUGCCUCCUAGUUUCGAUCCGAUGGAAGACGAUGUUUCUCUCGCUCAAGAAGAUGAAAUGAUGCAAGAUCUAUGUGAAUCUGAGAACCCAAAAAAGGUGAGAGGAAAGAAUAGGAAUAAAGAUGUUGCGGGACUCAAACCUGGAGAAACAUUUAGAGUCCACUUUUACCACAAUCGGGUUGUUGGGAAGCAUCAAGCCUCAUUUUCGAGACACUUGGGUAUAUUAGUUCGUGAUUGUAAUAUCUGUCCGUUGCAAGUACAUUCGUGGAAGGACAUCAGAAAAGAUAAGCUGGAACACAUGUGGCGAGCUGUUACGGACAAAUUUGACAGUGAUGACAUGAAUCAUCAAAGAGAUCAUGUGUUAAAUCAUAUGAGAAAGUUACAGAACAAUUGGAGAGGAUCAUUGCACAAGUAUGUGAAGUUUAAGUCAUUGCAUGAAGCACUAAAAGAUGUCCCGGAUGAGGUAGACAAGAGUGAUUGAGAAUGGUUGGUCAAGCAACAUAUUUUAAGUGAAAAUUUUAAGGAAACAAGUAUUAGAAACUCGAUCAAUAGGUCUAAGUUGAGAAUGCCUCAUCGUACGGGUAGCAAGCCGAUUAGAGAAAUUAUUUACGAACUGGGAAGCAAAGACGGUAAUCCACCAAACAUGGCGACUAUCUUCUUUGAGACUCACAAGAAAAAUGACACGCUUGUAGAACCUGAAGCUGGUGAAAAAUAUGGUGAGAUACAAGAACUAGUACAAUCUGAGCCAUCUCUUACGAAUAUUGAGGUAGUAGAAAGAUGCUUCGGACCUCAAAAUAAGAGUCACAUGGUUGGAUUAGGGGGUGGUAUAACCACUAAGGAGUUGAAAGGCGGUAGCUCCUCAAAGGCUGCAAUAUUGGCUGAGCUGAAUGCAGUUCGAAAAGAAAAAGAAUCACUACAGACUGAGCUGAAUGCAACUAAAAAAGCAAAAGAAUCACUAGAAAUACGUAUGGACGACAUAGAUUCUAAGUAUGCACAUAUUAUCAGCUUACUGGGUGAUCAACCUUCAUCAGCACCAUCUUCAAGUCAACAAAGUACAAGCUGAAAUUAGUAUUUAACAGAUCAGAUAAAGGGCCUGAAGUUUGAAGAAUUUUCCAUAAAGAUAGUUCCGAGCAAGUUGAAGCAGCUAGAAUUGUUGAAGAACAAGGAAAAUCUAUUAUGUUUUAUUAGGAGUUGUAGUCGUCAUCCGUACAAACUACUAUUUUACUUUCUCUUUAAUUUUUUGUUUUCUUUAAGGAAUUGAAAACAUGGAUCAUGCAAUUUGGAUGUAAUAUUAGUGCUACUUUGAUUAGUUCUCUAUCUAUAAUUAAAAAAGAUGUUUUAUGUCAA